rnacentral:rRNA from 1 species
UUGCUGCGGUUAAAAAGCUCGUAGUUGGAUCUGCGUCUCAGGACCUGGUCCAUCCAUUGGAUGAGAACUAGGCUCCUAGGCUAAUAUUGCCAGUUUUCCCAUACGUUACCUUAAUUGGUUGCAUAUGGUGGCUAGCAAGUUUACCUUGAAAAAAUUAGAGUGCUCAAUGCGGGCUAAUGCCUGAAUACUCGUGCAUGGAAUAAUGAAAUAGGAUCUCGGUUCUAUUUUGUUGGUUUUCUGAUCUGAGAUAAUGGUUAAGAGGGACGGACGGGGGCAUUCGUAUCGCUGCGUGAGAGGUGAAAUUCUUGGACCGUAGCGAGACGUACGACUGCGAAAGCAUUUGCCAAGAAUGUCUUCAUUAAUCAAGAACGAAAGUCAGAGGUUCGAAGGCGAUCAGAUACCGCCCUAGUUCUGACCGUAAACGAUACCAACUAGCGUUCCGUCGGCGGUAAAUACGCCUUGACGGGCAGCUUCCCGGAAACGAAAGUUUUUCGGUUCCGGGGGAAGUAUGGUUGCAAAGCUGAAACUUAAAGAAAUUGACGGAAGGGCACCACCAGGAGUGGAGCCUGCGGCUUAAUUUGACUCAACACGGGAAAACUCACCUGGCCCGGACACCGUGAGGAUUGACAGAUUGAGAGCUCUUUCAUGAUUCGGUGGUUGGUGGUGCAUGGCCGUUCUUAGUUGGUGGAGUGAUUUGUCUGGUUUAUUCCGAUAACGAGCGAGACUCUAGCCUACUAAAUAGUUACUGGAUAA